GAUGAACGCUGGCGGCGUGCCUAAUACAUGCAAGUCGAGCGAACAGACGAGGAGCUUGCUCCUCUGACGUUAGCGGCGGACGGGUGAGUAACACGUGGAUAACCUACCUAUAAGACUGGGAUAACUUCGGGAAACCGGAGCUAAUACCGGAUAAUAUAUUGAACCGCAUGGUUCAAUAGUGAAAGACGGUUUUGCUGUCACUUAUAGAUGGAUCCGCGCCGCAUUAGCUAGUUGGUAAGGUAACGGCUUACCAAGGCAACGAUGCGUAGCCGACCUGAGAGGGUGAUCGGCCACACUGGAACUGGGACACGGUCCAGACUCCUACGGGAGGCAGCAGUAGGGAAUCUUCCGCAAUGGGCGAAAGCCUGACGGAGCAGCGCCGCGUGAGUGAUGAAGGUCUUCGGAUCGUAAAACUCUGUUAUUAGGGAAGAACAAAUGUGUAAGUAACUAUGCACGUCUUGACGGUACCUAAUCAGAAAGCCACGGCUAACUACGUG
rnacentral:rRNA from 1 species